GACGAACGCUGGCGGCGUGCUUAACACAUGCAAGUGGAGCGACGAACCGGGCUUCGGCCCGGGGCAAAGCCGCGAACGGGUGAGUAACACGUGGGUAACCUGCCCCGAUGACCGGGACAACCCGAGGAAACUCGGGCUAAUACCGGAUGUGCUCGCCUCACAUCAGUGAGACGAGUAAAGGUAGCUUCGGCCUCCGCAUCGGGAUGGGCCCGCGGCGCAUUAGCUUGUUGGUGGGGUAACGGCCUACCAAGGCGACGAUGCGUAGCUGGUCUGAGAGGACGAUCAGCCACACUGGGCCUGAGACACGGCCCAGACUCCUACGGGAGGCAGCAGUGGGGAAUCUUGCGCAAUGCGCGAAAGCGUGACGCAGCAACGCCGCGUGAGGGAAGACGGCUUUCGGGUUGUAAACCUCUUUCAGUUGGGACGAAGCCCAGACGGUGAACAGCCGUGCUGGGUGACGGUACCUUCAGAAGAAGCCCCGGCUAACUACGUGCCAGCCGCCGCAGUAAAAC
rnacentral:rRNA from 1 species